rnacentral:lncRNA from 1 species
CCAAGAUGGCCGCCAUGGCUAAAAAUAGAACAUAGGGGUAAAAUGCAGUUUUUGGCUUAUAACUCAAAAACCAAAGCAUUUAGAGCAAAUCUGACAUGGUUAAAAGUGUUUAUCAGGUCAAGAUCUAUCUGUCCUGAAAUUUUCAGAUGAAUCGGACAAACUGUUGUUGGGUUGCUGCCCCUGAAUUGGUAUUUUUAAGGAAAUUUUGCUGUUUUUGGUUAUUAUCUUGAAUAUUAUUAUAGAUAGAGAUAAACUGUAAACAGCAAUAAUGUUCAGCAAAGUAAGAUUUACAAAUAUGUCA